rnacentral:lncRNA from 1 species
CGUUCCCACCGCCUCCCUGCCGUACAGCUGGAAAUAAACAAAACCAACGUAGAAAUAUAUAUAGGUUAAAAAGAAAGGGCUUUUGGGGCGGGGCGGCGUUAUUUAGUUCGAGGCAGGGUCUUUUCGUUUCCGUGCGGGUUUUUUUGGGACAUUUAUUUCGGAGGAUUUUUUCCCAAGGGGAUCGAUCGCGGCCGCUCUUUUCCCCCUGCCUCCCCUCCGGGCGAGCGGCGGCCCCGGCUGUGGCGGGCGGCAGUUCUGCCGCCUUGUGGACACAGAGCGGUACUGCAGCCCCACAGCCAGCGCCCGGCCGAAACCCACCGAGACGGGGCGGGAGGGGCCAGAGCGGCCCCAAAACCACCGAGACGGGGCGGGAGGGGCCAGAGCGGCCCCAAACCACCGAGAUGGGCGGGAAGGGCCAGAGCGGCCCGUUUAAAAACUACCGGGACGGGGCGAGUGGGGCAGAGCGGCAGCGAGCGGCGAGCGGGGCGGUGUGUGUGAGUAGAGGGGAGCGGUGAAGGCGGCUCCGCGGCGUCGGAACAGGGCUGCGCCCGCCCCUCCUGCCGCCCUCCUUGGAAUGGGUUGAGGCAUUAUGGGCUUAUUGAGAUGCCUUUAUUUUCAUGGGUUGGUAAAACUGUGGGUCCUCAAGUCGUUGACCUCUGUGUGGACAUUCUGAGCAUCUUGCUGUGCCAAGGGAGUCAGAUAAAGCUGGAUCAUCAACAGAAGCGGGAAGAGCAUCAGGCUGAGUCGGAUCUCUUUAUGGAUGAGGAGUCUGAUGACAGAAGUGUCUUCAAAUGACAAGCUCCUUCCUGUCCUGUCCCUGCUCCGUUCCAUUCCCCCUCUCGGUGGUGUGAGAUGAGAUUUGAGCCCUUUCUGACAUCCACACGUGCUCUUCGUGUUGUCAGAUCCUGUGUGGAAGCCAGCACCUCUCCCUGCCUAUUUUGCAGUUCACUGCAGAUCCCAGAAAUCCCACAGGAGGGAAGAUCUUGUGCUUCCACCACCAAGCGAGAGAAGAGAUGGUCACAUCCUAGGAGCCUGAUUUUGGAAUGUUUUAUGGAAAUGGCCCAGUGGCUUUUACUUCUGGGGUUCCUGGAGUCUGUUCAUGGCAGACUGUACCUGCUGAAAGGCUGAGGUGGGACCAGGAUCUGUAAAAUCCCUGACUCUCCAUGUCUUCCUGAGGCUGAAGCUGUGUUUGCUGUCAGUGGUGACAUGGUGGAAGAUGCUAAAGACUGAAAAUUUUGGGUUUUUUCCCGGAACCCAAGACUCUGUAGCUGUGCCCUGUCUGUCUCUUAAAAGAGUUUAUUGGUUUACAAAGGUUUUUACAUUCUGCAAUUAUUUACCUAUAACUCUAUUAAAAAGAAUCAUACUGUAUCAAUGUGGUGUUAAUUACUUUGUGUUGGUUAAUUAAAGCAAAUUGUUGAUAAGGGGUUUGAGCAUCCCUUAGUUGGAGCUGGCAGCUCUUAUUUAAUUUCUCUUCAUUCCUUUAAUUUCUUUCAAUUACUUCUUAAGCAAUUACUGCAAUGGGA